AAUAAUGAGCUACUCGGGUUGGUUAGAUCCACGCCUUAAUGCAUAUACAACCAAUAGAGAAAUAGGUCAAAUAUGGCGACAAUGAUCAACUUGCUCUUCUUCUACUAAAUUAAAGAUUCGUGUGGAGAUUCUGUCGAUAUAAUCAUAUAUUUAUAUCUGCUCUUUCUUAAAAUGGAGACGUCCAUCUCUGAGACAACAAAAACGCAAAUAAAUGGAAGAUAAAAGCAAGAAAGACAACCCUAAUAAAGGAGUCAGGACUAAGACUAGUAAUUAUUUCCCCUUAUUUCAUGAUUGUCGAAUGUAGUGCGAGUUAUAAAUAGACAAUUUUUCCCUUAAUUUUUUUCUCCCCUCUUCCUGCAUUUUUGGGUUGACUUUUUGGUCUAGAAUUGGAGAAAAGGGAUCAAAUUUGCAAUUUCAUAGCAGUUUUGGGUAAUACUGAUGAUAUUACAGCGGAGGGAUAGGGGGUGUAAAGUGUCUUUCUGCAGAGCAAUCAUUGUGUCGGAAGUGAGAUUUUCACCCCUGUCAACUUCAAAUCCGUGUAGCAAAAAAAUCUAAACGGUCAACCCCCUACAAAAUUAUGAUGAGGAGAUUGCCAAAUGUUGUCCCCAUUGUGCCUAUAAAGAUUGGAACCAACGGAAUGUUGAGCAAAAAGCUACAGCCUGUGAUGUUACAGUCAUUUAACAUUGAAAUCAAUGGGCAAAUAAUUGCUAGUCUGACUCCUGAUGAUAUAAAGAAGCAUGGCCGACUCGGGAUGUUGAUAUUUUUUCAACGGCUUAUUUCCUGAAGUUUUGAAUGGAAAGUGUCAGAAAUGGUGCCAGGGCAAUGUUUCAUAGAGUGGAAUGAUUGACCUCAACACAAGUAUUAAAAAAAAAGAAGCAAAACAGUUUCAAUAUUGGAUGUAUAUGCAAAUCACCCAGAAAAAGCUCAUGUAAUAACAAAAGAAAUUAUAAAAGAAAAAAAGGAAGAAGAAAUGGCUGGAAAAAAUGAUGAUAGAGCAGCUUUUUCUUGUUACCCACCUCGGAAGAUCAAGUUGGAAAGGGCUAUUGAUAUUGUGGAGACGUUUUCUCACAGAUCUUGCUUAUCAGACAAAGACUAUGUAAGUACCAUGCAUAUUUGCUUUUUAAAUCAGGAACUGGUUCUAUACACUUGGUGGGGGGGUUGGAUGGACGUUAAACCCCAUUUCUCUCUCUCUCUCUCCUAAAUAUUGAGAUUUUUGUUUACUUUUAAACUGCAUAUAUUCAAGGUAUCAGGAGCUUUUUAUGGCUCCCGUACAAUUUUAUAAACAUGAAGGACUGUACCUUUUGAAUAUUAAGCCAUCAAAUUAUUUUAUAAUUUUGAAAAUGAAAUGAAAUGGGGUUUAACAUCCUACUGUUUUGCUCAUAAAUUGGGCUAAUGAAGACGGGCAUACGCCAUACAGUGUGCUAUGAAGGGAAUUUUGCCCGGGCAGCGGCGCUACAGCCUACUCUUAUAUCGAAUUCCAAUUGCCAAGGAAUCUUUUAUGUGCACGCCAAUGUGUACACGGGACCUCGGUUUUUCGUCCCAUCCGAACAACUAGACAGCUGUCCUUGUCAGGUCCUCCGUCCUGUAUCACUGACAAGGGGAAAACACGCAAAAUGCUGGAACACCAUUGAAAGAGUACUUGCUGUAUGAUAACAACAAGAAAACCCAAGCAUCAAUUUAUUUUAUACUUCUGGGAAAGAAUGCAUUUGACCCAAUUUUUGAAUAUUUAUUUUUUGUUAUUAAUGUUAAAUUUUCUUCCAAAACACAAUUAGAUUUUAAUUCUCUUCAGAAAUGUAUGUAUAAUAUAGCAAGUAAAGUGGCAUAUAAAUCACUUAGAAUUUGGUCAGAAAUCAUAAAGUAUUUAAUAGGCAUUACUAGAAACCAAAUGUAGAUCAAAUACA